AUUGGAGAUAUGCAGAUUUUUUCCUCAAGGUAGACUGCUCGCACGUGCAAGAGGCAGCUUUGGCAGCCGGUGUUGAGAGAAUCACACUGAAGCCUUGAAGCUUAAGAAGAAGAGGAUCGGACAGUGUUCCCUGCAGCGGGGUGAUGGACAGUUAAGACCGCUACGAUGACCGACGACUCCUUCACUGGCCCCUCCACCAAGCUGUCCUUCCAUCUGGCAGCCAUCCGCGUGAUCAACCUGCCCCAUACCCUCUAUAACUCCCUCUCACAGGUGAGCCUCAGUACAGGCACUAAGAAAGUAGUUGCUGCUACAGCCUUCGGCGCAGUGUCUCUCCUCUUCCUCGCCCGUCACUUCCAGAGGAGGAAAGGCAGGAAGAAGGGAGUCCAAUCACC